UGGGGAGUACGGUCGCAAGAUUAAAACUCAAAGGAAUUGACGGGGACCCGCACAAGCGGUGGAUGAUGUGGAUUAAUUCGAUGCAACGCGAAAAACCUUACCUACCCUUGACAUGGCAGGAAUCCCGGAGAGAUUUGGGAGUGCUCGAAAGAGAACCUGCACACAGGUGCUGCAUGGCUGUCGUCAGCUCGUGUCGUGAGAUGUUGGGUUAAGUCCCGCAACGAGCGCAACCCUUGUCAUUAGUUGCUACGAAAGAGCACUC
rnacentral:rRNA from 1 species